rnacentral:rRNA from 1 species
GUGAGGAAUAUUGGUCAAUGGGCGCAAGCCUGAACCAGCCAUCCCGCGUGCAGGAAGAAGGCGCUAUGCGUUGUAAACUGCUUUUCCAGGGGAAGAAAAUGCCGUACGUGUACGGAACUGACGGUACCUUGGGAAUAAGCAUCGGCUAACUCCGUGCCAGCAGCCGCGGUAAUACGGAGGAUGCAAGCGUUAUCCGGAUUCAUUGGGUUUAAAGGGUGCGUAGGCGGACAAAUAAGUCAGUGGUGAAAACCUGCAGCUUAACUGUAGACGUGCCAUUGAUACUGUUAGUCUUGAGUGUGGUCAAGGUAGGCGGAAUGUGUAAUGUAGCGGUGAAAUGCUUAGAUAUUACACAGAACACCAAUUGCGAAGGCAGCUUACUGGGCCAUUACUGACGCUCAUGCACGAAAGCGUGGGGAGCAAACAGGAUUAGAAACCCUAGUAGUCC